GGGGAAUCAUCAUAGUGAAACUGAGACGUGGACAAGAACUGAAGCUUAGGGCGAUAGCGAGGAAAGGAAUCGGGAAAGAUCACGCUAAAUGGUCUCCUGCAGCCACUGUUACGUUCAUGUAUGAGCCUGACAUUAUCAUCAAUGAAGAUAUGAUGGACACUUUGACAGACGACGAGAAGAUUGACUUGAUUGAGAGCAGCCCGACCAAAGUUUUUGACUUUGAUGCUGUCACCAGACAGGUUAGUUUGGACAUUUGUGAAGAAUGUCAUAUCUACAAGUUUAUUGGUGUAUGAAUUUUCUCUAGGUGCUUAAACUAAAUGAAGCUAAGAAAAUAAAAAAAUAUUAUACCUUAACUAAAAAUUAUUGUUUAAUUUUACAAUAUAUGGAGAUCAACAUACCAUGAACCAAUCCAAAUAAUUAUACAUAAAAUAACAUAUCUAAUUAAGAAGAAAAUAUAAUGAUACUAUACAAUAUUAUUUUCAUAAUAUAAAUUAAAAUAAUUUCAACCUUAUAAACCAACAUGUAAAUAUUUAUAUCCAUGCAUAAAAACAUAAUGCUGCUUAAUACAAUUUUUUUUCAUCAUAAAUAUAAAUUAUAAAAUUACUUAAAAGUUAUAAACAAUGAAAGCAAAUAUUUAAAAUUAUAGUGAUUUGAUUAUUUUGUAAACAUUUAUUCCAGUGCAUGAGCACGAAAUAAUCACUAUUAUAUAUAUAUAUAUAUAUUAUUUUUUUGACUAUAUAUAAUUGAAGCGGUCACCAGCAUCACCUAUUGUGUAAGACUGUACAAUAGUUUGUAAACUCAAUACUCUCUUUUCUCUUUUUAAUACUUCACAUCAUCUUAUCUUUGUUUUGCCUAAUUAUUGAACAUUCAUGUCUCUUUUAAUUUUUUCAAUAAUUUUAUUUAAUAAAAUUUAACACACUAAUUCACCAAUUUAAAUUCAAAGUUUCAUCUUUUAUAAUUUAAUAAUUAUAUUAAUAAUAAUUAACUUAAAUAACUCAAAUAACAUAGUUUUAAAUACUUUUAUUUUAUUUAUUUAUUUAUAUUCUUAAGUAAUUUUAAAAUAAUUAUGAAAUUAAUAAUUUUUUGUCAGUUUCCCUAAUUUCUCUUUACUCAUAUUUUGAAUCAGAGGUUUUAAAGCUUUGGAUGAUUUAAGAAUCGAAAAAGGCAGAUGUUGACUAAAACAAAGGUUGAGUAUCCUUCCAAUAAUCUUUCAUUAUCUUAAUGAUGAAUUUGAAAGGUUUGUGCUUUCCUACUGCAUCUGCUUGCAUAUGAAAUCUGCCUCGAAGAUGAUCUGAACAGCUUUCGGCCUCAAAUAUACCAUACACUUGAGUUCUUUGAUUCAACCAAAUCUCAUUAACCAGAAAACGAUCUAAUUUCUUGCAGAUAAACGCAUCAUCACGCUUAUUACACCAAGUAAAUUUAGGUCUUUGAUAGCCCAAAUUCAUGAGUCUACAGUGUUGAAUAACACUAUCAAACUCAUGCAUUCCUACAAUGGUAAUUCAUGAAUCUUUAUAACUUGAAUGUUCCUCCCCAUCGAAUAUCUCAUUAAAAUUCCCUAUGAUUAUCCACUUCUUAUUUCUGAACAUCUGUGAAUCCUGAUGAAACUUGAUACCACCCCAUAAUUCUCUCCUAUUCUCAGAUACAUUUUCCGCAUAUACAAAUGAACAAAAAAAAUUCUUCUGUCUCCCCCUUCGAGAAGUACAAAGACAAUUAUUAUUUUAUAUCUGAUUUAAACACUGACGUUAAACCUGGCCUGAGGGCUCCAAACUACCCAUAUCCUUCUUUUUCCGUUAAACUCAUAAUUAUUGAUGAGAGACCAACCAUUAAAAACCGUGGAUGCAAUCUGCACAAUUCCUUGACUCUAGUCUCUAUUUUGAAUCCAAUAAAGAGCAGAAAGCAAUAUAUCAGGCCCAAAAAGCUGCGGUAAAGACCAGGCCCAAAGGCCUAACUUUUAAACAACUGCUGUAUCUUACAUCUCUCUCUCUACCACUCUAGCUCUUCACCUUCAGCGAAGAAAACUCUCUCUCCGGAUUGUUCAGACUAAAACCCUAAAAAGCUAGAGAGAUGGACAGUGGUGCCACUUACCAGAGAUUCCCAAAGGUGAAGAUCCGUGAGCUGAAAGAUGACUACGCCAAGUUCGAGCUUCGUGACACCGAUGUCUCCAUGGCGAACGCUCUCCGUCGCGUUAUGAUCUCCGAGGUCCCCACGGUCGCAAUCGAUCUGGUCGAAAUCGAGGUUAAUUCCUCUGUUCUCAACGACGAGUUCAUUGCUCAUCGGUUAGGUCUCAUCCCUCUCACCAGCGAGCGUGCGAUGAGCAUGCGCUUCUCUCGAGACUGCGAUGCUUGCGACGGAGACGGACAGUGCGAGUUUUGCUCUGUUGAGUUUCGUCUUAGCGCUAAAUGUGUCACUGACCAAACCCUAGAUGUUACUAGUAAGGAUCUGUACAGCGCUGAUCCUACUGUUACUCCUGUUGAUUUCGGUGAUUCAUCUGGAGCUGAUUCAAGCGAGCAAAGGUAUAAAAUAAAAAUGACAACUUUUUGUUUUGUGUUCGGACAAUAUCAGAAUAAAUUAGUUGUUGGGUUGCUUCUUUUUUUUUUUUGUUCCUGACUGUUUCUUUCUUUUAAUUUCAGGGGAAUCAUCAUAGUGAAACUGAGACGUGGACAAGAACUGAAGCUUAGGGCGAUAGCGAGGAAAGGAAUCGGGAAAGAUCACGCUAAAUGGUCUCCUGCAGCCACUGUUACGUUCAUGUAUGAGCCUGACAUUAUCAUCAAUGAAGAUAUGAUGGACACUUUGACAGACGACGAGAAGAUUGACUUGAUUGAGAGCAGCCCGACCAAAGUUUUUGACUUUGAUGCUGUCACCAGACAGGUUAGUUUGGACAUUUGUGAAGAAUGUCAUAUCUACAAGUUUAUUGGUGUAUGAAUUUUCUCUAGGUGCUUAGUGUGUUUAGCUAAUUUCUGGGCAGUCAUUCAUUACAUCAUAGCUUAUCACUAUUGCUGUUAAUGACACUCUGCUACUUUAGGUUGUGGUGGUUGAUCCAGAAGCAUACACUUACGAUGAAGAAGUGAUCAAGAAAGCAGAAGCCAUGGGGAAACAAGGGCUCAUCGAGAUCCGUCCGAAAGAUGACAGUUUUAUAUUCACUGUUGAAUCCACAGGUGCAGUGAAGGCUUCGCAGCUGGUACUGAAUGCCAUAGAUCUCCUGAAGCAGAAGCUCGAUGCAGUCCGUCUCUCAGACGACACUGUUGAAGCUGAUGAUCAGUUUGGCGAACUAGGUGCACAUAUGCGCGGAGGAUGAGCGUGUGGUUUAAUUUGUGCUCCAUGUUUUCCCCAGUUUGUUUCGGGUUUGAGUUUAUGUUUGGACCAGGGCAAUCUAUUUUACCGUAGCGGGACACUCUUCUUAGAUAACUACUUAUGAAGCAGGUGGUCUUCUGUUUUGGCCCCUGCAAACUGAUCCCUUCUCAAAUCUUGUUAUUAUGUGAUUCAGACUAAAGUUUAUUCUUGCUCCAUGUGUUUAUGACAUGACCCGGCUAUAGAACCGAUGCCAUUUACCUGAACGGUUAUGUUUCGAAAUAAGAGGGAAAAAAUUGUACUAAUUUGGCUAUAGAUCUAAUGCCAAUACACUUGGGGGUUAUUGGUUUAAGAUUUAAAAAAUCUUAUCAAAAUCUAUUGUUAUUGGUUUAAAAACUUUUAAAUUCCAUUCAAAUCCGUUAUUAUUCAUAAAGUUUUUAUUAUGGAUUUUAUCAUUCUAUUGAAUUCUGUUGUUAUUGGGAGGUGAAUUCCUUAUGUUUUUAAGACUAGACUUUGAAAAUAUCAUCUAUUCUCAUAAGAUUUUAAAAAUCUGUGUAAUAAGAAAAACAUGCACAUAUUACAACUAAACUCACGUGAACACAUCAAACCAAAUUCAAUAAUGGUGAAUCAACUAAACUCACAUGAUCUGUAAUUCAUUAUAUUUUUAUAGUUUCUUAUUUUACAGAAUAUAAAAAGAACUAUAAAAUAAAUGGCCAGAAGAAGUAGAUACAUGUAUGUAGCUGGACACGAAAAGGAGAAGGAGAAGAGAAGAAGAUAUGGGUAUCAUUGUGUCAAUUACGUGAUGUUUGUAUAUAUGGUUUACAUUGAGAUUUUGUUUUUGGAAAUGUUCUGAAGAGAUUGUUAUACAUUGCCUUAUAAGAAGAAAUAUUUUGAAAAUAAUAUAUUAUGCAAAUCCAUAAAAAUCAAUAAAAUCUACAAAAGUCAAUUCAAAGUAUUUGAUAGAAAUUUGGAAAAUAUUUGUUAACUCUACUUAACUUCUAAGAAUCAUCUGUCAACUUUUAAAAUCACUUAACUCCUUCUAAAUUCUGAUUCUAAUAAUCCCCCUUAGAAUCAUCACUUCAAUGGCUAAUGCAAUUAUUUGUUUGACGACAUCACUAACGUCGAAACAGCGGGGGCAAAUGGACAAAUCCGAUUCUAUAAAUUUGAAUGAUUAACGGGAAGACAUCUAGUAAACAAGCAAGUCUGCCAAAAAGCUUCUUCUCUCUCUAAACCCUCUGCCAUCUCACUAGGUCUCCAAAUCUGAAUUGUGCUCGGUGGCCGGUGUGCUCUUACGCCGCCGGUCGCCACCCCUUUUCUUCUUUUUGUCUUUUGCUGUAAUAUAAAGAUCCUUUUCGGGUUAGCCGAUAUCCUUUUCCGUUGCGGAUCUUAAGCUUUCGCUUUGGCGAUGUGUUUUUGUUGUGUUGUACUUGCUUUUUCAUCGAAGCUUUUCUUCAAUCUAAUUCUUUUAUCUUCGAUGAAAAACGUUUUAAAUCACUUUCCAUUGAAGCUUAUAUGAAUCCCGAUGACCAAUUGAUCGGAUUUUUUUUUUUACCGUUUCACUUCAAACAAUUCUCCAGAGAAUCAGUCUUCCUUUGUAAUUUAGCCUCUUAUGACAAGAACUGAAGCUUAGGGCGAUAGCGAGGAAAGGAAUCUGGAAAGAUCACGCUAAAUGGUCUCCUGCAGCCACUGUUACGUUCAUGUAUGAGCCUGACAUUAUUAUCAAUGAAGAUAUGAUGGACACUUUGACAGACGACGAAAAGAUUGACUUGAUUGAGAGCAGCCCGACCAAAGUUUUUGACUUU
rnacentral:lncRNA from 1 species